UAGGGAAUAUUGGACAAUGGGCGCAAGCCUGAUCCAGCCAUCCCGCGUGAAGGAUUAAGGUCCUAUGGAUUGUAAACUUCUUUUCUCUGGGAAUAAAAACCGGUAUUUAUACUGGCUUGAAGGUACCAGAGGAAUAAGCACCGGCUAACUCCGUGCCAGCAGCCGCGGUAAUACGGAGGGUGCAAGCGUUAUCCGGAUUCACUGGGUUUAAAGGGUGCGUAGGUGGCUUUGUAAGUCAGUGGUGAAAGCCCGGAGCUUAACUCCGGAACUGCCAUUGAUACUGCUUAGCUUGAAUCAACUUGAGGUGGAUGGAAUAUUACAUGUAGCGGUGAAAUGCUUAGAUAUGUAAUAGAACACCGAUUGCGAAGGCAGUUCACUAAGGUUGUAUUGACACUGAGGCACGAAAGCGUGGGGAUCAAACAGG
rnacentral:rRNA from 1 species